rnacentral:lncRNA from 1 species
CCAAUCCGUCCCUUUGGUUUUUACAGAUGAUGGCACUGUCCCUUGCCAAAGACUGUUCCAGCCACUAGAAACCAGGAACCCAACCAGAUGCACUAAAGCCCCUGCCCCGGGGGAGCCUGCAGUCCAACAGCAACCACCAAAGGAGCAAGUUAAGCUGCCUAAGGAAAUUUGUCUGAGGAUGAAGCCAGCAACUGAAAACAAAUUAGAGAUGGAGGGACCGAGUCCGGGAUGUUGCUUGAGCCCUGUGUGCAGGACUGCGGAAGCCAGCUCUAGCCCCUUUGCAAGUCUUGCUUAUUGACUCUUGCUCUUAUGCCAGGGUGAGUUUGGGUGGGAUUUCCACCCAAAGAAACCUUAAAGGACUGUGGCCUGCUGAAUGCCAGCUGGAGACAGGUUUUGUUGGUCCACACAGGAUUAAAAUUUUGAGGCAAC